CGGACGGGUGAGUAAUGUCUGGGAAACUGCCUGAUGGAGGGGGAUAACUACUGGAAACGGUAGCUAAUACCGCAUAACGUCGCAAGACCAAAGAGGGGGACCUUCGGGCCUCUUGCCAUCGGAUGUGCCCAGAUGGGAUUAGCUAGUAGGUGGGGUAACGGCUCACCAAGGCCACGAUGCAUAGCCGACCUGAGAGGGUGAUCGGCCACACUGGGACUGAGACACGGCCCAG
rnacentral:rRNA from 1 species